AGAGUUUGAUCCUGGCUCAGAAUCAACGCUGGCGGCGUGCCUAACACAUGCAAGUCGAACGCGAAAGGGGCUUCGGCCCUGAGUAGAGUGGCGAACGGGUGAGUAACGCGUGGGUGACCUACCUUCGAGUGGGGGAUAACGUCCCGAAAGGGACGCUAAUACCGCAUGACAUCCUGCUUUUGAACAGGCGGAGAUCAAAGCCGGGGAUCGCAAGACCUGGCGCUUGAAGAGGGGCCCGCGUCCGAUUAGCUAGUUGGUGAGGUAACGGCUCACCAAGGCGACGACGGGUAGCUGGUCUGAGAGGAUGGCCAGCCACAUUGGGACUGAGACACGGCCCAGACUCCUACGGGAGGCAGCAGUGGGGAAUACUGCGCAAUGGGCGAAAGCCUGACGCAGCGACGCCGCGUGUGGGAUGACGGCCUUCGGGUUGUAAACCACUGUCGGGAGGGACGAAUGCGCCGCAAGGCGAGUGACGGUACCUCCAAAGGAAGCACCGGCUAA
rnacentral:rRNA from 1 species